rnacentral:rRNA from 1 species
GAUGAACGCUGGUGGCGUGCCUAAUACAUGCAAGUCGAGCGAACAGACGAGGAGCUUGCUCCUCUGACGUUAGCGGCGGACGGGUGAGUAACACGUGGAUAACCUACCUAUAAGACUGGGAUAACUUCGGGAAACCGGAGCUAAUACCGGAUAAUAUAUUGAACCGCAUGGUUCAAUAGUGAAAGACGGUUUUGCUGUCACUUAUAGAUGGAUCCGCGCCGCAUUAGCUAGUUGGUAAGGUAACGGCUUACCAAGGCAACGAUGCGUAGCCGACCUGAGAGGGCGAUCGGCCACACUGGAACUGAGACACGGUCCAGACUCCUACGGGAGGCAGCAGUAGGGAAUCUUCCGCAAUGGGCGAAAGCCUGACGGAGCAACGCCGCGUGAGUGAUGAAGGUCUUCGGAUCGUAAAACUCUGUUAUUAGGGAAGAACAAAUGUGUAAGUAACUAUGCACGUCUUGACGGUACCUAAUCAGAAAGCCACGGCUAACUACGUG